rnacentral:rRNA from 1 species
UAUGUAGGGGGCAAGCGUUGUCCGGAUUUAUUGGGCGUAAAGCGCGCGUAGGCGGCCACUUAAGUCGGAUGUGAAAGCCCCUGGCUCAACUGGGGAAGUGCACCCGAAACUGAAUGGCUUGAGUGCGAAAGAGGGUCGCGGAAUUCCCGGUGUAGAGGUGAAAUUCGUAGAUAUCGGGAGGAACACCGGUGGCGAAGGCGGCGACCUGGGUCGACACUGACGCUGAGGCGCGAAAGCGUGGGGAGCAAACAGG